GUACACACCGCCCGUCGCUCCUACCGACUGGGCGCGGCGGCGAGCGCCCCGGACGCGCGAAGGGCCGCGAGCCCCCGCGCCUGGAGGAAGGAGAAGUCGUAACAAGGUAUCCGUAGGUGAACCUGCGGAUGGAUCCCUCGCGCGCC
rnacentral:rRNA from 1 species